UUGACCUCGAAUCAGGUGGGACUACCCGCUGAACUUAAGCAUAUCAAUAAGCGGAGGAAAAGAAACUAACAAGGAUUCCCCUAGUAACGGCGAGUGAAGCGGGAAAAGCUCAAAUUUAAAAUCUGGUAUAUCUUUGAUUGCCUGAGUUGUAAUCUAGAGAAGUGUUUUCCGUGCUGGACUGUGUACAAGUUUCCUGGAUACGGAACAUCAUAGAGGGUGAGAAUCCCGUCCUUGACACAAGACUCCCAGUGCUUUGUGAUGCGCUCUCGACGAGUCGAGUUGUUUGGGAUUGCAGCUCAAAAUGGGAGGUAAAUUCCUUCUAAAGCUAAAUAUUGGCGAGAGACCGAUAGCGAACAAGUACCGUGAGGGAAAGAUGAAAAGCACUUUGGAAAGAGAGUUAAACAGUACGUGAAAUUGUUAAAAGGGAAACGCUUGAAGUCAGUCAUGUUUGCUUGGACUCAGCCUUACUUUGGUUUGGUUUAUUUCCUUGCAGACGGGCCAGUGUCCAUGUCAUUCAUCGGAAAAGGGGUGAAAGAAUGUGGCUCCUCUGGGAGUGUUAUAGCUUUGACUCGUAUACGGGGGAUGAUAUGGAGUGAUACAGCAUGCUUUGG
rnacentral:rRNA from 1 species